rnacentral:rRNA from 1 species
AGCAGCCGCGGUAAUUCCAGCUCCAAUAGCGUAUAUUAAAGUUGUUGCAGUUAAAAAGCUCGUAGUUGAAUUUCGGGGUCAGUAGGCUGGUCGUGCCAAUGGUAUGUACUGGCUUUACUGAUUCCUCCUUCUUGAAGAACUGUAAUGCCAUUAAUUUGGUGUUGCAGGGAAUCAGGACUGUUACUUUGAAAAAAUUAGAGUGUUUAAAGCAGGCUU